rnacentral:rRNA from 1 species
GACGAACGCUGGCGGCGUGCCUAAUACAUGCAAGUCGAACGAGAGCGACCGGUGCUUGCACUGGUCAAUCUAGUGGCGCACGGGUGAGUAACACGUGGGUAACCUGCCCAUCAGAGGGGGAUAACAUCCGGAAACGGAUGCUAAAACCGCAUAGGUCUUCGAACCGCAUGGUUUGAAGAGGAAAAGAGGCGCAAGCUUCUGCUGAUGGAUGGACCCGCGGUGCAUUAGCUAGUUGGUGAGGUAACGGCUCACCAAGGCCGUGAUGCAUAGCCGACCUGAGAGGGUGAUCGGCCACAUUGGGACUGAGACACGGCCCAAACUCCUACGGGAGGCAGCAGUAGGGAAUCUUCCGCAAAGGACGCAAGUCUGACGGAGCAACGCCGCGUGAGUGAAGAAGGUUUUCGGAUCGUAAAACUCUGUUGUUAGAGAAGAACAAGUGCUAGAGUAACUGUUAGCGCCUUGACGGUAUCUAACCAGAAAGCCACGGCUAACUACGUG